rfam:Picea glauca, whole genome shotgun sequence.
GGACAUGUAGCUUAGUGGUAGAGUAGCCUGUUGGCUGGGGAGUUGUAACUCAGUAGUAUAUCAACUUGGUGGUUGGAAGUGUGCAACUACCUUGGGUUUGAAUCCUAACUUGUCUA